rnacentral:rRNA from 1 species
GAUGAACGCUGGCGGCGUGCCUAAUACAUGCAAGUCGAGCGAACAGACGAGGAGCUUGCUCCUCUGACGUUAGCGGCGGACGGGUGAGUAACACGUGGAUAACCUACCUAUAAUACUGGGAUAACUACGGGAAACCGGAGCUAAUACCGGAUAAUAUAUUGAACCGCAUGGUUCAAUAGUGAAUGACGGUUUUGCUGUCACUUAUAGCUGGAUCCGCGCCGCAUUAGCUAGUUGGUAAGGUAACGGCUUACCAAGGCAACGAUGCGUAGCCGACCUGAGAGGGUGAUCGGCCACACUGGAACUGAGACACGGUCCAGACUCCUACGGGAGGCAGCAGUAGGGAAUCUUCCGCAAUGGGCGAAAGCCUGACGGAGCAACGCCGCGUGAGUGAUGAAGGUCUUCGGAUCGUAAAACUCUGUUAUUAGGGAAGAACAAAUGUGUAAGUAACUAUGCACGUCUUGACGGUACCUAAUCAGAAAGCCACGGCUAACUACGUG